CCACCCAGGAAGAGGAGGGGCCAGGCUCCUCCCCACUGUAAACAUUGCAAACUUCCUGAAGCUCCACCCCAGUGCGCAUGCUUCCCAGUGUGCAGGCUGGUGAGAGGUUCUCUGGGGACCCUUUUAUACUUGGCUGUCUCAGUAUGACCUAGUGAUCACAAACUGGGUUAGGAGAUCUCAGCAAGUCCUGUUUGUUCAUAUUCUUCUUGGCAUCCCUGUGUGACAUUCCUUCCCUCUGGAUAUAGGGCAAGACACCUGUCACAUCAGGGUUUUCAGGAGAGACAGGAUGGAGAAGCUCAGACAGUGACCUUUUCAGGCUUUGUGGCCUGCUUCAGGGAAGAAAGGUGAGGAAAUGGAGGCUCAGAGAAG
rnacentral:lncRNA from 13 species